rnacentral:lncRNA from 1 species
UGCCAUUGAGGACUGCUCAAUAAGAGACUCUAACUCCGGAAGAGAUGGUUCAUCGGCAUGCACCUUUGGCAGAUAUCCUGGGAAGUCGAAUUACGGCAAAUCGGGCACUUAGGUGCUUGUUAUGACUUUGGAGAGAAUUCAUCAAGUUUCAUCGAUGGAUCCUCAGUGUCCACCUCCUCUUAGACUUGGCUAGCUAGGAGCCAGGCAUGGACUCAAA